AGAGGUCGCCGAUUCGAGUGA
rnacentral:siRNA from 1 species